CCUACGGGAGGCAGCAGUGGGGAAUAUUGGGCAAUGGGCGCAAGCCUGACCCAGCAACGCCGCGUGAAGGAAGAAGGCUUUCGGGUUUUAAACUUCUUUUGUCAGGGACGAAGCAAGUGAUGGUACCUGACGAAUAAGCCACGGCUAACUACGUGCCGACAACCGCGGUAAUACGUAGGUGGCCAGCGUUAUCCGGAUUUACUGGGUGUACAGGGCGUGUAGGCGGGGAAGCAAGUCAGAUGUGAAAACCACGGGCUCAACCUGUGGCCUGCAGUUGAAACUGUUUUUCUUGAGUGCUGGAGAGGCAAUCGGAAUUCCGUGUGUAGCGGUGAAAUGCGUAGAUAUACGGAGGAACACCAGUGGCGAAGGCGGAUUGCUGGAGAGUAACUGACGCUGAGGCGCGAAAGCGUGGGGAGCAAACAGGAUUAGAUACCCCAGUAGUC
rnacentral:rRNA from 1 species